ensembl:lncRNA
AUUGGGUUCCCAGUAACUUCAUAAAAAAAAAGUGUGGCGGCUGUGUUUGUAAUCUCAGACCUGGGAAAGCAGAGACGGGCUCACCGGACAGUCAGCCUAGCCUAAUGGCCAGGUGUCUUAGCUUGCAAACAGCCACUGCUCUAUCAGCAGACAGGCUCGUCGCACAACCAUCUCGACAAUGCCGCUUCAGUUCUCAGAGCCUCCAGUUUCCUGUGUGAAAAGUGGGGUCCCGGAGGCUCUGUAGGAAAGGUUACUGGUGGCGUGAUCGACACAUAAUAGCUGGUAAAUUAGUGAGGUCACCUGGCGACCCCUCCUUCCCAGGAAUGAGGUUUAGGACUGACCCCUGGAGAGGGCUGUGACACCCAGGUUCCAGCCUCAUUUCUAGACGAGAGCUGGUCGCACGCAAGGGGAUUUCCAUGGGACUUCUCAGUUGCUCGUGGGGGGUUGGAUCAGUGGGUAAAAAUGCUAACCAUGCAAACCUGGUAACCUGAGUUUAUUUCUCAGAAACGAUUAAAAAAAAAAAAAAAUCCAGGCUCGGAGGUACUCAUCUGUAAUCCCGGCGCUCUUCCAGUCAAUGGGGGAUGGAGACAGGACAAUCAGUCAGAAGCUUGCAGGCCAGGAGUGGGGACGCUGGGCAACAGAAGAGAGAUCCUACCUUAGUACAGUGGAGGGCCGGAGCAACAGACAUGCACCGCUGUGCCGAGUGGCAAGGUCUAACUCGGGUCUUAACGCUCGUGUGGAAAUCAUUUGCCAGCAGAGUCCUAAGAUUGCAGCCUCCGUAUUGCUGGAUAAGAUGUGCUCGUGUAGCUGGCCUGCAUGUCACAUAUCCCCUGGCCCAUCCUGAGACGUCUGCCUCAUUCUUGGUCAUAUUGCACAGUGUGCCUGUUCCAGUGUCCAC